UUGGGUAUUACAAAGGGUAUGGAUAAUACCCACCUUUAUUUGUACAUGUCUACCUGACGUCCGACAGGUAGAGGUCCUUGCCCACUAAUAUAUCCACAGUUAAAGAAAUUAUUUUAUACCCGCUUUUAUAUAAGAUAAAAUAUGUCGAGUAUUCGGGUUUCAUGUACCAUUGUUAUCUCUAUAAAAACUCUAUAUUAAAUAUGGUUGCAUGCACCCUUAGUUGCUUUGGUAUAUCUUAGUAUGUCUGCUUCGGCCAUGGUGCUCAUCCCUCUGCGUUGGAUUUUGUGACAUUGUGUCGAGGCUCAUCGGUGGCAGCGGUGGUCCAAAUGGUGCGUUCGGAUGCUUUCAUGUUUGUUGAAAUAAUGCAUCUUCGGUUGUUAAAAUUGUCUGCUUCGGUCAUGGUGCUCAUCCCUCUGUGUUGGAUUUUGUGACGUUGUGCGUUUGGAUGCUUUCAUGUAUAUAAAACCCAAUUAAACGAAGGGUCUUUUGAUAGGCCUCUAAGAGGCUAAAUGAAAAACACAAGAGACGAACUCUUCGUGA
rnacentral:lncRNA from 7 species